UACAGAGGGUGCGAGCGUUAAUCGGAAUUACUGGGCGUAAAGGGUGCGUAGGCGGUUUUUUAAGUUAGAUGUGAAAUUCCUGGGCUUAACCUGGGAACUGCGUCUGAUACUGGGAAGCUAGAGUAUUGUAGAGGAAAGUGGAAUUUCCGGUGUAGCGGUGAAAUGCGUAGAUAUCGGAAGGAACAUCAGUGGCGAAGGCGACUUUCUGGACAAAUACUGACGCUGAGGCACGAAAGCAUGGGGAGCGAACAGG
rnacentral:rRNA from 1 species